AACGAACGCUGGCGGCAUGCCUAACACAUGCAAGUCGAACGAGACCCUCGGGUCUAGUGGCGCACGGGUGCGUAACGCGUGGGAACCUGCCCUUAGGUUCGGAAUAACUCCCCGAGAGGGGUGCUAAUACCGGAUAAUGUCUUCGGACCAAAGAUUUAUCGCCUUUGGAUGGGCCCGCGUUGGAUUAGCUAGUUGGUAGGGUAAAAGCCUACCAAGGCGACGAUCCAUAGCUGGUCUGAGAGGAUGAUCAGCCACACUGGGACUGAGACACGGCCCAGACUCCUACGGGAGGCAGCAGUGGGGAAUAUUGGACAAUGGGCGAAAGCCUGAUCCAGCAAUGCCGCGUGAGUGAUGAAGGCCUUAGGGUUGUAAAGCUCUUUUACCCGGGAUGAUAAUGACAGUACCGGGAGAAUAAGCUCCGGCUAACUCCGUG
rnacentral:rRNA from 1 species